GAACUACUCCCUCCGUUCGGAAUUACUUGUCGCAAAAAUAGAUGUAUUUAAAUGUAUUUUAGUUCUAGAUACAUCCAUUCUCGAGACAAGUAAUUCCGAACGGAGGGAGUACAAG
rnacentral:pre_miRNA from 1 species